CAGCACGAAGUAGCAAUAUUUUGGUGGCGACCGGCGCACGGGUGAGUAACACGUAUGUAACCUACCCUGUACAGGGGGAUAACCCGGAGAAAUUCGGACUAAUACCCCAUAAUGAUAUCUGUCGGCAUCGGUGGAUAUUUAAAGCUGAGGCGGUACGGGAUGGGCAUGCGGAACAUUAGCUAGUUGGCAGGGUAACGGCCUACCAAGGCUACGAUGUUUAGGGGUCCUGAGAGGGUGAUCCCCCACACUGGUACUGAGACACGGACCAGACUCCUACGGGAGGCAGCAGUGAGGAAUAUUGGUCAAUGGGCGGAAGCCUGAACCAGCCAUCCCGCGUGCAGGAAGACGGCCCUAUGGGUUGUAAACUGCUUUUCCAGGGGGUGAAUUUCUCGGUCGUGACCGGAAUUGACGGUACCCUGGGAAUAAGCAUCGGCUAACUCCGUGCCAGCAGCCGCGGUAAUACGGAGGAUGCGAGCGUUAUCCGGAUUUAUUGGGUUUAAAGGGUGCGUAGGCGGGCCAAUAAGUCAGUGGUGAAAACCUGCAGCUUAACUGUAGACUUGCCGUUGAUACUGUUGGUCUUGAGUAUGGUCAAGGUAGGCGGAAUGUGUAAUGUAGCGGUGAAAUGCUUAGAUAUUACACAGAACACCGAUUGCGAAGGCAGCUUGCUGGGCCAUUACUGACGCUGAUGCACGAAAGCGUGGGGAUCAAACAGGAUUAGAUACCCUGGUAGUCCACGCCGUAAACGAUGAUCACUCGCUGUUGGCGAUACACAGUCAGCGGCUAAGCAAAAGCAUUAAGUGAUCCACCUGGGGAGUACGGCCGCAAGGCUGAAACUCAAAGGAAUUGAC
rnacentral:rRNA from 1 species